rnacentral:rRNA from 1 species
AUUGAACGCUGGCGGCAUGCUUUACACAUGCAAGUCGAACGGUAACAGGCCUUCGGGUGCUGACGAGUGGCGAACGGGUGAGUAAUGCAUCGGAACGUACCCAGAGGUGGGGGAUAACGCAGCGAAAGCUGUGCUAAUACCGCAUGUGAUCUGAGGAUGAAAGCGGGGGACCGAGCAGCAAUGUUUGGCCUCGCGCCUUUGGAGCGGCCGAUGUCGGAUUAGCUAGUUGGUGGGGUAAAGGCCUACCAAGGCGACGAUCCGUAGCUGGUCCGAGAGGACGACCGGCCACACUGGGACUGAGACACGGCCCAGACUCCUGCGGGAGGCAGCAGUGGGGAAUGUUGGACAAUGGGCGCAAGCCUGAUCCAGCGAUGCCGCGUGCGGGAAGAAGGCCUUCGGGUUGUAAACCGCUUUUGGCAGGAACGAAACGGUGUCCGCUAAUACCGGGCGCUAAUGACGGUACCUGCAGAAUAAGCACCGGCUAACUACGUG